GGGCCGGGGUGUUGGGUUGUACCGUCCUCGGGUUGUCGGGGAGGAUGGGCCUCAAACAGAGUGGCAGUACCGUGUCCGGUCCUGGAGCAUGACGGGGCGUCGUCACCGGCUCCGGGGGACCGGAUCCGGUUGCUGGCCGGGCCGUUUCCAUCCAUCGAGUUGGCCUCGGAUCAGGCAGGGGUACCCGCUGAACUUAAGCAUAUCAAUAAGCGGAGGAAAAGAAACCAACGGGGAUUGCCCUAGUAACGGCGAGUGAAGUGGCAAGAGCUCAGAUUUGAAAUCUGGCCCCCCGGAAGGGGGGUCCGAGUUGUAAUUUGCAGAGGAUGCUUCGGGCCCGGUCCCCAUNUAAGUGCCCUGGAACGGGCCGCCAGAGAGGGUGAGAGUCCCGUCUGGGAUGGGAGACCGGAUCCCUGUGACGCUC
rnacentral:rRNA from 1 species